CCUACGGGGGGCUGCAGUGGGGAAUAUUGCACAAUGGGCGCAAGCCUGAUGCAGCCGUGCCGCGUGUGUGAAGAAGGCCUUCGGGUUGUAAAGCACUUUCAGCGGGGAGGAAGGCGGUGAGGUUAAUAACCUCAUCGAUUGACGUUACCCGCAGAAGAAGCACCGGCUAACUCCGUGCCAGCAGCCGCGGUAAUACGGAGGGUGCAAGCGUUAAUCGGAAUUACUGGGCGUAAAGCGCACGCAGGCGGUCUGUCAAGUCGGAUGUGAAAUCCCCGGGCUCAACCUGGGAACUGCAUUCGAAACUGGCAGGCUAGAGUCUUGUAGAGGGGGGUAGAAUUCCAGGUGUAGCGGUGAAAUGCGUAGAGAUCUGGAGGAAUACCGGUGGCGAAGGCGGCCCCCUGGACAAAGACUGACGCUCAGGUGCGAAAGCGUGGGGAGCAAACAGGAUUAGAUACCCCGGUAGUC
rnacentral:rRNA from 1 species